rnacentral:rRNA from 1 species
UACGUAGGGGGCAAGCGUUGUCCGGAUUUAUUGGGCGUAAAGAGCGUGUAGGCGGCUUUACAGGUCCGUUGUGAAAACUCGAGGCUCAACCUCGAGACGCCGGUGGAAACCGUAAAGCUAGAGUCCGGAAGAGGAGAGUGGAAUUCCCGGUGUAGCGGUGAAAUGCGCAGAUAUCGGGAGGAACACCAAUGGCGAAGGCAGCUCGCUGGGACGGUACUGACGCUGAGACGCGAAAGCGUGGGGAGCAAACAGG